AAUGGGCCUACAAUGCCAACGGUGCAGCAUUUUGUUAGAGCUGAAAUGUUCUCAAGUGGUUCAAUCAUACACAUUGUUGAUCAUAUGGAUUUGGAGACAUGGGGUGUGCCAGAAGUGUUGCGCCCGCUUUAUGAAUCAUCAACAAUUCUCGCUCAAAAGACAAAUUGUUUGCUCUACGACAACUGAGGCAGAUAGCUCAUGAAGUUUCUCAGUCUAAUUCAACUGGUUGGGGUUGUCGACCAGCAGC